CAGAAUUCCUGCUCAUGUGUCAUCCUCUGACUCGGGAAGCAUGCUUUUUGGCUAUAAAUGCAGACAGCAUUACCAAAUGCUUUUUUUUUUUUUUACACCAAAUGCUUUUUUUUUUUUUUUUUUUUUNNNNAUACUAGUGCAGUUUCACAUUUUAUAUGGCAUUCAUAUGUAUGGGUUGCAUUUGUAAUUUGUAAUUGGCUUUGUUGUUUUCCCUGUUGUAAUCAUUCUCUUAAAAGCAAUAUCAGAC
rnacentral:misc_RNA from 1 species